CCGUUGGAAACGACUGCUAAGACUGGAUAGGAGACAAGAAGGCAUCUUCUUGUUUUUAAAAGACCUAGCAAUAGGUAUGCUUAGGGAGGAGCUUGCGUCACAUUAGUUAGUUGGUGGGGCAAAGGCCUACCAAGACUAUGAUGUGUAGCCGGGCUGAGAGGUUGAACGGCCACAUUGGGACUGAGACACGGCCCAAACUCCUACGGGAGGCAGCAGUAGGGAAUUUUCGGCAAUGGAGGAAACUCUGACCGAGCAACGCCGCGUGAACGAUGAAGUAUUUCGGUACGUAAAGUUCUUUUAUUAGGGAAGAAUAAAUGAUGGAAAAAUCAUUCUGACGGUACCUAAUGAAUAAGCCCCGGCUAACUAUGUGCCAGCAGCCGCGGUAAUACAUAGGGGGCAAGCGUUAUCCGGAAUUAUUGGGCGUAAAGGGUGCGUAGGCGGUUAAAUAAGUUUAUGGUCUAAGUGCAAUGCUCAACAUUGUGAUGCUAUAAAAACUGUUUAGCUAGAGUAAGAUAGAGGCAAGUGGAAUUCCAUGUGUAGUGGUAAAAUGCGUAAAUAUAUGGAGGAACACCAGUAGCGAAGGCGGCUUGCUGGGUCUUUACUGACGCUGAGGCACGAAAGCGUGGGGAGCAAACAGGAUUAGAUACCCUGGUAGUCCACGCCGUAAACGAUGAGUACUAAACGUUGGGUAAAACCAGUGUUGAAGUUAACACAUUAAGUACUCCGCCUGAGUAGUACGUACGCAAGUAUGAAACUUAAAGGAAUUGACGGGACUCCGCACAAGCGGUGGAUCAUGUUGUUUAAUUCGAAGGUACCCGAAAAACCUCACCAGGUCUUGACAUGCUUCUGCAAAGCUGUAGAAACACAGUGGAGGUUAUCAGUUGCACAGGUGGUGCAUGGUUGUCGUCAGCUCGUGUCGUGAGAUGUUGGGUUAAGUCCCGCAACGAGCGCAACCCUUAUUGUUAGUUACCAGCACGUAAUGGUGGGGACUUUAGCAAGACUGCCAGUGAUAAAUUGGAGGAAGGUGGGGACGACGUCAAAUCAUCAUGCCCCUUAUGACCUGGGCUACAAACGUGAUACAAUGGCUGUUACAAAGGGUAGCUGAAGCGCAAGUUUUUGGCGAAUCUCAAAAAAACAGUCUCAGUUCGGAUUGAAGUCUGCAACUCGACUUCAUGAAGUUGGAAUCGCUAGUAAUCGCGAAUCAGCAUGUCGCGGUGAAUACGUUCUCGGGGUUUGUACACACCGCCCGUCAAACCACGAAAGUG
rnacentral:rRNA from 1 species